rnacentral:rRNA from 1 species
GACGAACGCUGGCGGCGUGCUUAACACAUGCAGGUCGAACGGAAAGGCCCUGCUUGCCGGGUGCUCGAGUGGCGAACGGGUGAGUAACACGUGGGUGAUCUGCCCCUUACUUUGGGAUAAGCCUGGGAAACUGGGUCUAAUACUGGAUAGGACCAUGCUGUAGGUGGUGCGGUGGAAAGAUUAGUUUCGGUAAGGGAUGAGCUCGCGGCCUAUCAGCUUGUUGGUGGGGUAAUGGCCUACCAAGGCGUCGACGGGUAGCCGGCCUGAGAGGGUGGACGGCCACAUUGGGACUGAGAUACGGCCCAGACUCCUACGGGAGGCAGCAGUGGGGAAUAUUGCACAAUGGGCGCAAGCCUGAUGCAGCGACGCCGCGUGGGGGAUGACGGCCUUCGGGUUGUAAACUCCUUUCAGCCAUGACGAAGCCCUUGUGGUGACGGUAGUGGUAGAAGAAGCACCGGCUAACUACGUG